AGUCAGUCAGUUUAACCCUUUAGUUGUAUAAGUUUACAAAUCACAUUUCUUCAUUUGUUCACUUUUCCAAGGUUGUUGUGCUUUGCUCACUGGGAGAAUAGAAGAAUUCCUUCUACCCUCAGUCUUGAUGUCAGUUGUGCAGAUAAACAGCAACGAACUAAGAUCCACAGGUUGCUGUCAAAACACUUUGGUUCAUUUCUUGAGAGCAAAACCUUUAAUAAGCAAGGCAGUGAAGUAGCAAGUGGUGGAGGAAGCUACAUCCAGAUAAGAAUGCGAGCCAGGGGACCGAAGCAAAUGCAGCAAAACAACAAUAAAGGUGAUUCAAGACAGACAGAAACUGAGUACACAGGAUUUGUAUUAUGUAAAAAAAAUAUGGUAAGAAUUUGAUGAAUAUUUGUUAAAUAUUAUGGUAUGAAGCAUGAGGUUUGUUUGGCAGCCGAGAUUUGUGUUGAAGUCACAGUCG